UGGGAAUCUUAGACAAUGGGGGCAACCCUGAUCUAGCCAUGCCGCGUGAGUGAUGAAGGCCUUAGGGUUGUAAAGCUCUUUCAGCUGGGAAGAUAAUGACGGUACCAGCAGAAGAAGCCCCGGCUAACUCCGUGCCAGCAGCCGCGGUAAUACGGAGGGGGCUAACGUUGUUCGGAAUUACUGGGCGUAAAGCGCACGUAGGCGGACCAGAAAAGUUGGGGGUGAAAUCCCGGGGCUCAACCUCGGAACUGCCCUCAAAAACUAUUGGUCUGGAGCUCGAGAGAGGUGAGUGGAAUUCCGAGUGUAGAGGUGAAAUUCGUAGAUAUUCGGAGGAAACACCAGUGGCGAAGGCGGCUCACUGGCUCGAUACUGACGCUGAGGUGCGAAAAGCGUGGGGAGCAAACAGGAUUAGAUACCCUGGUAGUCCACGCCGUAAAACGAUGAAUGCCAGACGUCGGGCAGCAUGCUGUUCGGUGUCACACCUAACGGAUUAAAGCAUUCCGCCUGGGGAGUACGGUCGCAAGAUUAAAAACUCAAAAGG
rnacentral:rRNA from 1 species